GAGAGAGAGAGAGCUAACAAACUAAGCUACCUAUAACUACUUUGAUAACAAACUAUACACGUGGACAACAGCUCUAACAAACUAAAGCUCCCAUCAACUGACUUUGGCGCCUUCUAUUCUUUGAUCUAAUGGUAGUCAUGCCCCACAGGUAGAAUUUCUUCUCUUUGCUUUAUGGAGCUUCUGCAGCAUAGGAUAUAUUAACUGCGAUACUUUCUUGCCAUCCUUUCUUUUUUCUGUAUCCUCUGCCGAAAUGUCAGCUGGUCAGGCUGGUCAGCCAAUGUCAUCUAUGAACUUACCAGACUGGGAUUCCUCCUUCUUCCAGUUCAAUCCCCAAUUCACCCAAUUUUCAAUCUUCAAACCCUACAUCCCCCUUAUCUUCAAUUCAUGGUAGUGGUUAUCUCGCUCAAUCGGCAACUGAACCAUCAUCUGCGCAACUAUGUCUCCUGUUAAAUCAUUUGAUAUGAUAUCUCUGGUAAUGGGCAACAAUUUACAAGGGUUAACUUAUCUAUAAGAGAUAAUGCCACAAGCAGCCUAUGCCAGCUAUUGUUGCUAGAUUAUUUUAACUGGUCUUGUCUUGAGUUUAAUUUAAAGCCAGUGACUCAUUAUGAGAUUUUUCACCAUAUGUUGAAUUGGCUGGUUAAUUGGGAUCAAAGACAACAUGGAGUUGAAGAAUGUGAUUGUGUGAAAUCAUGUAUACCUGACAAAGCUCUAACUGAACAGCUACACAGUUGUCUGGAUGUUUUUUGGUUGUUGGUCGAUGAGAAUAAGUGCAGAGUGCCCUUCUAUGAAUUGUUGUGCAGUGGGCUGCUUUUUAUUGAGACCAUACCAGAUGAUGAAGCUUUAUUUACACUCAUCUUGGAGAGCCAUAGGAGGCAAGAUAUGAUGGCCACGCAUAUACAAAUGCAAAUGCUAGAACAACACCUGCAUUGUCCCACAUUUGGUAUUCAUCGGAUUCUGUCUCAAAUAACUCCUAACAUUUCAGUUGAAGCAGUAGCAAACUUGCGCUAUUCGCCGAUCACAUAUCCAAGUGUACUUGGAGAACCGUUGCAUGGAGAGGACCUUCCAAAUUCUAUUCAGAGAGGAAGUUUGGAAUGGGAAAGAGCUUUCCGUUGUAUAAGACAUGCUCUUCGCACUACUCCACCACCUGAUCAGUAGAAGCUUGUGUUCCUCAUGACUCCUUGCUAUAGGAAUGAUGCUCAUGCACCUACUCCUGGUGCUAUUUUCACUUCUAGCAUGAUUUAUGUGGCAACCAUUGAUAGAAUUGUUGAAUUAUUGAAGUUAACAAAUUCAGGCAAAUAUAUCUUCCUUUUACUUGUACUCUGUCCUCUAUAUAUAAUGUGUUUCUUGACUCUCUUUUCAUAAUGUUUUCUCCAUUGAAUUUCUGAUACUAUCAAUCAAUGAAUUACAUUGCAUAUUUGUGAUGUUGCCGGACCUUAGGCUUUUAUUCUUUUGGACUUUAUAAUAUUUCACAAUUGAAGAUAUGGUUUUGAUAAAUGGAAUUUAGAAUGCUAUGUUAUGCUGAGCAGGAGUAACUAGUGAGAAGUGUAGUGGAUGUGUUUGUCAGGGUAGCAUAAUAUGUGCAAGUUGAUAAACCUGCUCAUCUCCAUUUUUCAACAGUCAUUUUGGAAUUUCCACUAUCUUUAGGAUUUCUUUGAUGAAGCUGUUUUAGUUACUGAUAUUUUCAAAUAUAUUUUAAGCCGCUCUCAUAUGUUCUCCUUUUCCUGGAGAACUGCAGAAGUAAAUUAAGAAAGGUUGUUUUUUAGUGCAAAUUUCUGAUGCCUUUCUACAGUAGUCAUAUUAUUGCAUCUUCUUUUGCACUUUCACUACUUAUUUGUCUUCAUUCAAUCAUUCCUUACUUGUCCAAGGCAUUUAUAUCUGCUUGACUCAAUUAUUGUUGGCAUUUAUUGGACAUUUUUUUUACAAUAUAUAUAGGGAUUCAUGUUUGGAUUUAACUUUGUCACUUGCAAACUUGGACAUUGCAAUUUUGCUGAUGGGUAGAGACCACCAGAAAGAUUAUAUCAUUUCAUAGAGAAGAUCGAAGUUCAGAUCCUAAUAAUCCUCAAAGCAUUUUGCUUGAUUUUAUAAGCAGUUGUCAAAAUUUACGUAUUUGGUCAUUGAACACAUCAACAAGGGAAUAUUUAAAUAAUGAGCAGCUUCAGAAAGGAAAACAAAUAGAUGAAUGGUGGAGAACAGUGACCAAAGGGGACCGCAUGAUUGAUUACAUGAAUAUGGAUGAUAGAUCGAUUGGAAUGUUUUGGGUUGUGUCCUACACUAUGGCACAGCCAGCUUGUGAAACAGUGGUGAACUGGUUGUCCUCUGGUGGAGUUUCUGAGCUUUUACCAGGAGCAAAUAUGCAGUCCAAUGAGAGGUUAAUGGUGAUGAGGGAAGUAAGCCCAUUACCAAUGUCAUUAUUAUCUGGCCUUUCACUGAAUCUAUGUUUGAAGUUGGUCUUCCAACUAGAAGAUUCUUUAUUUGCUGGGCAGGUUAUUCCUAGCAUUGCAAUGGUUGAAACUUAUUGUCGAUUGCUGCUCAUUGCACCUCAUUCAUUGUUUCGCUCACACUUCAGUCAUUUGGCACAGAGGUAUCCAUCCUUGUUGAGCAAACCUGGAGUGACUCUUUUGGUGUUUGAAAUUGUUAACUAUCGGUUACUUCCACUGUACAGGUACCAAGGGAAAAGCAAAUCAUUGAUGUAUGAUGUUACCAAAAUAGUUUCUACUUUAAAAGGGAAACGAGGGGAUCAUCGAAUAUUUAGGCUGGCAGAAAAUCUGUGCAUGAACCUAAUUUUAUCACUGAGAGAUUUUUUCUCUGUGAAAAGAGAAGGGAAGGGUCCAACUGAAUUCACUGAAACUUUGAAUCGUGUAACCAUAAUUACUCUUGCCAUUAUCAUCAAAACUCGUGGAAUUGCUGAUGCUGAUCACUUACUUUAUCUUCAGACUAUGCUAGAACAGAUAAUGGCAACUAGCCAGCACACAUGGUCAGAAAAAACAUUACACUACUUUCCUCAUCUUCUUCGUGACGCUUUGAUUGGGAGGAUAGAUAAAAGAGGGCUGGCUAUUCAAGCCUGGCAGCAGGCAGAGACGACUGUGAUUCACCAAUGUACUCAGCUUCUAUCACCAUCUGCUGAUCCUAAUUAUGUUAUGACUUACAUCAACCAUAGUUUUCCUCAGCACCGACAAUAUCUGUGUGCUGGUGCAUGGAUACUGAUGCAGGGGCACCCUGAAAACAUUAAUAGUGAAAAACUGGCACGUGUUUUGAGAGAAUUCUCCCCUGAAGAAGUGACAGCAAACAUAUAUACCAUGGUGGAUGUUCUACUUCACCAUAUUCAGAUGGAACUUCAGCAUGGACAUUCCUUACAGGACCUUCUGUUGAAAACUUGUGCAAACCUUGCAUUCUUUGUUUGGACUCAUGAGCUUCUUCCUUUGGAUAUUUUGCUUUUGGCCCUUACUGACCGUGACGACGAUCCUCAUGCUUUGCAUAUUGUGAUCAGUUUACUUGAUAGGCAAGAACUUCAACAAAGAUUGAAAUUGUUCUGUAUGAAUCGUGGGCCUCCUGAGCAUUGGCUUUUCUCCGGAAUAUUCAAGCGUCUUGAAUUGCAGAAGGCACUUGGCAAUCAUCUCUCAUGGAAGGACAGGUAUCCCACAUUCUUUGAUGAUAUUGCAGCCCGUUUACUUCCAGUAAUCCCUUUAAUUGUUUAUAGGCUUAUUGAAAAUGAUGCCAUAGAUCCGGCUGAUAGAGUUUUGGCCAUGUAUUCUCCAUUUCUAGCAUAUCACCCCUUAAGAUUCACAUUUGUUCGUGAUAUACUUGCAUAUUUCUAUGGUCAUCUUCCAGGAAAGCUUAUUGUGCGAAUACUAAAUGUUCUUGAUCUAAGCAAGAUCCCAUUUUCUGAGUCAUUCCCACAGCACAUUAGUUCUUCGAACCCUGUCAUGUGCCCACCUCCUGAGUAUUUUGCUACUCUUCUGUUGGGACUGGUGAAUAAUGUGUUACCCCCAUUAAAUACCAACUCAAAAUAUGGAUCAGUUGCAGAUGGUCUAUGUAAUUCAAUGCGCAAUCUAAAUUCCAAGACUCCAGCAACAUCUCAAUCUGGGCCAACAAAUACUUCUGAGGGCCAAAGAGCAUUCUAUCAAAUUCAAGAUCCUGGAACUUAUACUCAACUAGUUCUUGAAACAGCAGUGAUUGAACUACUUUCACUUCCAGUGACUGCUUCCCAAAUUGUAUCAUCUCUAGUUCAAAUUGUAGUUAAUAUUCAACCAACUCUAAUACAAUCCAGCAAUGGUCUGCAUGGAGCUCCAAAUGGUGUUGCGCAAGGAUCAGGUUUACCAACAUCCCCUUCUGGGGGAAGUACAGAUUCCUUAGGUGCAAGUCGAUCAACUCCUUCAGUUUCAGGAAUCAAUACUGCUAAUUUUGUUUCUCGAAGUGGUUAUACAUGCCAGCAACUAUCUUGCUUAUUGAUCCAAGCUUGUGGUCUCCUACUGGCUCAGCUUCCUCCUGAUUUUCACU
rnacentral:misc_RNA from 1 species